UCCGGUUUAUCACGCGGCAGUCUCGCUAGAGUCCCCAACUGAAUGAUGGUAACUAGCGACAGGGGUUGCGCUCGUUGCCGGACUUAACCGAACACCUCACAGCACGAGCUGACGACAGCCAUGCAGCACCUGUCACCGAUCCAGCCUAACUGAAGGAUACCAUCUCUGGUAACCGCGAUCGGGAUGUCAAACCCAGGUAAGGUUCUUCGCGUUGCAUCGAAUUAAUCCGCAUGCUCCGCCGCUUGUGCGGGCCCCCGUCAAUUCCUUUGAGUUUUAAUCUUGCGACCGUACUCCCCAGGCGGAGAGCUUAAUGCGUUAGCUGCGCCACUGAAGGGUAAACCCUCCAACGGCUAGCUCUCAUAGUUUACGGCGUGGACUAC
rnacentral:misc_RNA from 1 species